UACGAAGGGGGCUAGCGUUGCUCGGAAUCACUGGGCGUAAAGCGCACGUAGGCGGAUUGUUAAGUCAGGGGUGAAAUCCUGGAGCUCAACUCCAGAACUGCCUUUGAUACUGGCGAUCUCGAGUCCGGGAGAGGUGAGUGGAACUGCGAGUGUAGAGGUGAAAUUCGUAGAUAUUCGCAAGAACACCAGUGGCGAAGGCGGCUCACUGGCCCGGUACUGACGCUGAAGCUCGAAAGCUAGGGGAGCAAACGGG
rnacentral:rRNA from 1 species